UACGGAGGAUGCAAGCGUUAUCCGGAAUGAUUGGGCGUAAAGCGUCCGCAGGUGGCAAUGUAAGUCUGCUGUCAAAGCGUCUGGCUCAACCAGAUAAAGGCAGUGGAAACUACAUGGCUAGAGUGCGUUCGGGGCAGAGGGAAUUCCUGGUGUAGCGGUGAAAUGCGUAGAUAUCAGGAAGAACACCGGUGGCGAAAGCGCUCUGCUAGGCCGCAACUGACACUGAGGGACGAAAGCUAGGGGAGCAAACGGG
rnacentral:rRNA from 1 species